GAGAGAAAGCAGGCAAUGAGAAGUGGAUCGGAGCCAAAUAAUGAAUCGUAAAAAUAAAAAAUAAACUGGGAAAUGGGAAUCCCAAAGUCUGCCAGAAUCAGUAGUAAUCUGUCGUUGUCAGGAAGAAGAAUAUACGGAGCUGAUUUUACUCUCUCUAUCUUAUUAUAAAUCUUCAUUCAACUACUACCGCUUGUCUUGUUUAUUUCUACUCUUUGCAAGUCGUCGACGGCUACUGCUUAAGGCCCAUAACGCCGGUGGUGGAGGUGGUUGUUUGCCAGAAUCUGACACCUCAUUCUACAACCACAUUAUAAUGCGUGAAACCGACCCCACUCCCUCGCUCCUUUUGUCUUAAUGAAAAAAAAAAAAAAAC
rnacentral:misc_RNA from 1 species